GGACAGGUGGUGUAGUGGCUAACACACCUGUGGUACUACGGGAACCCUGUGGUUCGAAUCCCGGUCUGUCCG
rnacentral:tRNA from 1 species